rnacentral:lncRNA from 1 species
AUGUUUAUCCCAAGCCAGGGCUGAGCAUUUAUUCAUCAUUUGGGCUCCUGCCAUCAAUCAUUCCCAUUCCAAGAGCCAACAGAUGGUGAAUCAGUAACCCCUCAGUGACCUGCUGGCUGGGCAAGGAUGCAGCAGCCCUGACAGGAGCUGACCCACCUGACACUGGCCAGGGCUCCACUCAACCACAAACCCUGCCUGAAACAGAGAACCUCCCCAAAAACAGUUUAGGAGCUGUGACAGGAAGCACCUCUUAACUCAGGCACAGUGUAACAGUGCUGGGAAAAAAACAGUAAAUGCAAUGAAUUAUUUAUCACCCAGGAUGAAUUUUUACAGACAGACACUAAGGUAGGAGGAGACCAUCCCGUGCUGCAGCAAUCGGUCACUGAGUGUCUCAGCAGAGAAGAGGGGAUGGAUCUCCUGUGGAGAGCUGAGAACUCCAAGCAGGAUACGAAGCAACAGCUGAAAGAACCAGGUGUAUGUGUGCUGUAGGAGAGGACUUCCCUGCCUCAGGGCAAUUUUAUGCCAGAAAUAAAUGUUCAUGGUCAUAACCA